rnacentral:lncRNA from 1 species
GUAAAAUAAAAAACGAAAAAUAAAAACAAUAAAGUAAAUUGAAAAAGUUAAGAGAUAAGGGUUUAGAGAUAGGGCACCAGUGAUUUACCCAAGUUCGGCCAAACAUUUCCAUACUCCUAUCCCCUAAGAUAUCUUCUUAAGAUUUUAACUAUGAACUGGAGCAUUUACAAGUUAUGCCCAUGAACCUUCAAUACAAUCAAAUCUAGAGAUUUUACAAUGGCUUAUCCCAAAAAAAAAAGCAUUUACUCAGGUUGAGCUAAAGAACCAAU